rnacentral:rRNA from 1 species
AGAGUUUGAUCCUGGCUCAGGAUGAACGCUAGCGACAGGCCUAACACAUGCAAGUCGAGGGGCAGCACAUGAGUAGCAAUACGAUGGUGGCGACCGGCGCACGGGUGAGUAACACGUAUGCAACCUACCUUCUACCAGGGGAUAACCCGUUGAAAGACGGACUAAUACCCUAUAAUACAGGGGCUCCGCAUGGAGAUAUUUGUUAAAGAUUCAUCAGUAGAAGAUGGGCAUGCGCAUGAUUAGCUAGUUGGCGGGGUAACGGCCCACCAAGGCAUCGAUCAUUAGGGGUUCUGAGAGGAAGGUCCCCCACACUGGUACUGAGACACGGACNNNACUCCUACGGGAGGCAGCAGUGAGGAAUAUUGGUCAAUGGGCGAGAGCCUGAACCAGCCAAGUCGCGUGAAGGAAGACUGUCCUAUGGAUUGUAAACUUCUUUUGCACGGGAAUAAAGUGGGCUACGUGUAGCCUUUUGUAUGUACCGUACGAAUAAGGAUCGGCUAACUCCGUGCCAGCAGCCGCGGUAAUACGGAGGAUCCGAGCGUUAUCCGGAUUUAUCGGGUUUAAAGGGUGCGUAGGUGGAUUGAUAAGUCAGUGGUGAAAGUUUGCAGCUUAACUGUAAAAUUGCCGUUGAAACUGUCGGUCUUGAGUGCAAAUGAGGNAGGCNGNAUGCGUCNNGUAGCGNGAAAUGCUUANNUAUGACGCANANUCCGAUUGC